rnacentral:rRNA from 1 species
GGAAUUUUCCGCAAUGGGCGAAAGCCUGACGGAGCAAUACCGCGUGAGGGAGGAAGGUCUUUGGAUUGUAAACCUCUUUUCUCAAGGAAGAAUAAAUGACGGUACUUGAGGAAUAAGCACCGGCUAACUCCGUGCCAGCAGCCGCGGUAAUACGGAGGGUGCAAGCGUUAUCCGGAAUUAUUGGGCGUAAAGAGUCCGUAGGUGGUUCAGCAAGUCUGCUGUCAAAGCCCGCAGCUUAACUGCGGAGAGGCGGUGGAAACUGUUGAACUAGAGUACGGUAGGGGUAGAGGGAAUUCCCAGUGUAGCGGUGAAAUGCGUAGAUAUUGGGAAGAACACCGGUGGCGAAAGCGCUCUACUGGACCGUAACUGACACUGAGGGACGAAAGCCAAGGUAGCGAAAGGGAUUAGAUACCCCUGUAGUC